rnacentral:rRNA from 1 species
AUUGAACGCUGGCGGCAUGCCUUACACAUGCAAGUCGAGCGGCAGCGCGGGGGCAACCCUGGCGGCGAGCGGCGGACGGGUGAGUAAUACAUCGGAACGUGUCCUUUCGUGGGGGAUAACCAGUCGAAAGACUGGCUAAUACCGCAUGAGACCUCACGAUGAAAGCGAGGGACCGCAAGGCCUCGCGCGAUUGGAGCGGCCGAUGUCGGAUUAGCUAGUGGCGGGGUAAAGCCCACCAAGGCUACGAUCCGUAGCUGGUUUGAGAGAACGACCAGCCACACUGGGACUGAGACACGGCCCAGACUCCUACGGGAGGCAGCAGUGGGGAAUUUUGGACAAUGGGGGCAACCCUGAUCCAGCCAUGCCGCGUGUGUGAAGAAGGCCU